AUCGGCCGAUUGCCUUGAGUUGAUAUGGCUCAGAUUGAACGCUGGCGGCGUGCCUAACACAUGCAAGUCGAGCGGUAACAGGCGUAGCAAUACGUGCUGACGAGCGGCGAACGGGUGAGCAAUGCUUCGGAAUCUGCCCAAUGAUGGGGAAUAACCAGUCGAAAGAUUGGCUAAUACCGCAUACGCCCUUCGGGGGAAAGCAGGGGAUCGCAAGACCUUGCGUCGAUGGAUGAGCCGAAGUCGGAUUAGCUAGUUGGUAGGGUAACGGCCUACCAAGGCGACGAUCCGUAGCUGGUCUGAGAGGACGACCAGCCACACUGGGACUGAGACACGGCCCAGACUCCUACGGGAGGCAGCAGUGGGGAAUAUUGGACAAUGGGGGCAACCCUGAUCCAGCGACGCCGCGUGUGUGAAGAAGGCCUGCGGGUUGUAAAGCACUUUUAGUGGGGAUGAAAAGCACAUCAUUAAUACUGGUGUGUCUUGACCUAACCCAAAGAAAAAGCACCGGCUAACUCUGUGCCAGCAGCCGCGGUAAUACAGAGGGUGCGAGCGUUAAUCGGAAUUACUGGGCGUAAAGCGUGCGUAGACGGUUAUUUAAGUCGGGUGUGAAAGCCCCGGGCUCAACCUGGGAAUUGCAUUCGAGACUGAAUAGCUAGGGUACGGUAGAGGGAAGUGGAAUUUCCGGUGUAGCGGUGAAAUGCGUAGAUAUCGGAAGGAACAUCAGUGGCGAAAGCGACUUCCUGGACAGUACCGACGUUCGGCACGAAAGCGUGGGAA
rnacentral:rRNA from 1 species